UCUGCGAUUUCCGAAUGGGGAAACCCAACUGCAUAAGCAGUUACUGUUAACUGAAUACAUAGGUUAACAGAGCAAACCGGGGGAACUGAAACAUCUAAGUACCCCGAGGAGAAGAAAUCAACCGAGAUUCCGGUAGUAGCGGCGAGCGAACCUGGAUUAGCCCUUAAGCACUCGGUGAAGUAGGUGAACAAGCUGGAAAGCUUGGCGAUACAGGGUGAUAGCCCCGUAACCGACGCUUCAUCGAGCGUGAAAUCGAGUAGGGCGGGACACGUGAUAUCCUGUCUGAAUAUGGGGGGACCAUCCUCCAAGGCUAAAUACUCCUGACUGACCGAUAGUGAACCAGUACCGUGAGGGAAAGGCGAAAAGAACCCCUGUGAGGGGAGUGAAAUAGAACCUGAAACCGUGUACGUACAAGCAGUAGGAGCACCUUCGUGGUGUGACUGCGUACCUUUUGUAUAAUGGGUCAGCGACUUAUAUUCAGUGGCAAGGUUAACCGUAUAGGGGAGCCGUAGCGAAAGCGAGUCUUAACUGGGCGCUCAGUCU
rnacentral:rRNA from 1 species